UACCCUACGGGACGCAGCAGUGGGGAAUAUUGGGCAAUGGGCGCAAGCCUGACCCAGCAACGCCGCGUGAAGGAAGAAGGCCCUCGGGUUGUAAACUUCUUUUAACAGGGACGAAGAAAGUGACGGUACCUGUUGAAUAAGCCACGGCUAACUACGUGCCAGUAGCCGCGGUAAUACGUAGGUGGCAAGCGUUAUCCGGAUUUACUGGGUGUAAAGGGCGUGUAGGCGGGGACGCAAGUCAGAUGUGAAAACCACGGGCUCAACCUGUGGCCUGCAUUUGAAACUGUGUUUCUUGAGUACUGGAG
rnacentral:rRNA from 1 species